UAGGGAAUCUUCCGCAAUGGACGCAAGCCUGACGGAGCAACGCCGCGUGAGUGAAGAAGGAUUUCGGUUCGUAAAACUCUGUUGUUAGAGAAGAAUAGCGCAUAGAGUCACUGUUAUGCGCGUGACGGUAUUUAACCAGAAAGCCACGGCUAACUACGUGCUAGCAGCCGCGGUAAUAAGUAGGUGGCAAGCGUUGUCCGGAAUUAUUGGGCGUAAAGCGAGCGCAGGCGGGCAAUUAAGUCUGAUGUGAAAGCCCCCGGCUCCACCGGGGAGGGUCAUUGUAAACUGGUUGACUUGAGUGCAGAAGAGGGGAGUGGAAUUCCAUGUGUAGCGGUGAAAUGCGUAGAUAUAUGGAGGAACACCAGUGGCGAAGGCGACUCUCUGGUCUGUAACUGACGCUGUGGCUCGAAGGCGUGGGUAGCAAACAGG
rnacentral:rRNA from 1 species